UACGUAGGGGGCAAGCGUUGUCCGGAAUCAUUGGGCGUAAAGAGCGUGUAGGCGGCCAGACAAGUCCGUUGUGAAAACUAGAGGCUUAACCUCUAGACGUCGAUGGAAACUGUUUGGCUAGAGUCCGGAAGAGGAGAAUGGAAUUCCUGGUGUAGCGGUGAAAUGCGCAGAUAUCAGGAAGAACACCCGUGGCUAAGGCGGUUCUCUAGUACGGUACUGACGCUGAGACGCGAAAGCGUGGGGAGCGAACAGG
rnacentral:rRNA from 1 species